UCUUCAAAUUAUCAGUUCAUCUCUUGUAAUUGACAAGAAUUUUGUUCUUUUAAUUGGUUGGAAGUGUCUGAUUUUUAAUUGGUUGGUUAUUUGUUCCAAUGCAAACUAGUAAAUAUGCAGAAUUCCAUCAUUAAUCAAAUGACCUAUUUUGCAAUGUAUUUUUUGUGCUACAAGCUCGUGAGAAGUUUCUAUCAUUGAGGAAAGGUACAAAGUCGGAUGUUGUUGCUGUCUUAGAAGAGAUAGAAAUAUUAAUUUAGUAAUAGGCAUAUUUCAGGACCUCCACAUCGCAAGGUCUUCAUUCGGGCAGGCUCGCUUCAAUCUGGUCACAGUUCUUUCUAAUGUCGAGGCCAAGAAGAGGUUUGAGUUUUUGGAAGCUGUUAGUGGGGCAAUGGAUGCUCACCUUAUUCAUUAUUUCAAACAAGGAUAUGAGCUAUUGCAUCAGAUGGAGCCAUAUGUCCACCAGAAUGAUGGGUCGCUUGGUGCUUUUGCUAGAUUUGCUAUUGCUAUAGUUUUUACCUGGAAGUCGUUGAGGUCUUCCAGUACACUGCGAAGAAGGCAACGGAAACAAAUAGGUUCUACAUCAGCAAGAAAUGGUAUUUGGACGGUUUGUGCAGGGGUCAUAUUAUUGUGGUGCCAGAGCUAACAAGGCAUUUGGACGAUCUAUGCUCUUAUUAUACUUACAACAGGCGAUCUGUUGUAUUCUGAAAUUUGUUUAUUUAGAAAUGUGAAUGUAGGAUGCAUUGUGAUUUGAUUUGUAAUAUGAAUGCAUCAUUUUCUUUCC